rnacentral:rRNA from 1 species
UGGGGAAUUUUGGACAAUGGGCGAAAGCCUGAUCCAGCAAUGCCGCGUGUGUGAAGAAGGCCUUCGGGUUGUAAAGCACUUUUGUCCGGAAAGAAAUCCUUGGCUCUAAUACAGUCGGGGGAUACGGUACCGGAAGAAUAAGCACCGGCUAACUACGUGCCAGCAGCCGCGGUAAUACGUAGGGUGCAAGCGUUAAUCGGAAUUACUGGGCGUAAAGCGUGCGCAGGCGGUUUGCUAAGACCGAUGUGAAAUCCCCGGGCUAACCUGGGAACUGCAUUGGUGACUGGCAGGCUAGAGUAUGGCAGAGGGGGGUAGAAUUCCACGUGUAGCAGUGAAAUGCGUAGAGAUGUGGAGGAAUACCGAUGGCGAAGGCAGCCCCCUGGGCCAAUANUGACGCUCAUGCACGAAAGCGUGGGGAGCAAACAGGAUUAGAUACCCUGGUAGUCCACGCCCUAAA